UUAAGGCUGAUGUUUCAUUCUUUUUAUGUUUCAAAAAGGGCAAGUUCUAAGGACAUGAAUAGAGCCUUCACUCUGAAUUUCCAUGCUUUGAUUGAUUUAAAUGAAAACCAGACUGUUGCUUUAAUGCUGUGUAUGAAACCAUAAAAUAAUUAUUAAUUUUUCCCAUUCCAACAAAAUGGGUUAAGAUGAUUUUAAUAACAUUUUAGGGGGGAAAAAACCAAAACCAAACAGCUUUCAGAACACAGAAUUGUCCAGCAUACAAAAGCCAGCCAUAGCGAUAUUUUUAAAGCAAUGCAUAAAGGCACAAAAAUCAUACAGUUUCCACUGAAAAACUCAGUACAGUUGCACUGGGAACACCACUGAAGUAAGCAUCCCCUGGAGAUUCCAUCACAUCAAAGCAAGGGAUAUGUAUACUUUAUUUGCUGUUUCUCCAGACACUGACAGCAGAGUGGGUUACUUCUCUCUCACACCCCAUAAAUACAGCCAUGGUCUUUUAUCUGCCGUUCCAGGACUUUACUGUCACCUCGCUGCCUCACUCACACUGUGGGAAGGAGAGGACCUAGAGAUCCCCUUUGGCCAACAAAGAGCUUUUAGCUGGCGAGCAGGGAGUGCAGGCACCGCACCACACAGCACCAAGCCUCACCAGCAGGCAGAGGAGGGGUUGAAAAGUGCACCUUUAUCUGCAGAAGAAAGGAAACACCUGAACCAUUCACCAGCAGGGACUCUGGUGAGGACUGGACUCACAACUGCACUUUUGAGCAAGCAGAGAUAGGAAAGAGGAACAACGGGAGGGCAAAGGCUUCAGAAACAUUCAGGCAACUUUGAAAGACGACAGACAUUCAACUGCAGGAGAGGAAGAUUCCACGGGACAAUGGGAAAUGCCAAGGCUUCCCAACCACCUGCCUGUCAGACACCUCCUGCACUACCAUCCCACAUCUUUCAGAACCCACUACUCAUGCCUUCUUUAAAACCUUCCCCAGAUAAACCAUUUUCUUUCAAUCUCACAUCAAGUUCCACUGCCUUUAGUAUCACCCAUCAGAAGUGUGGAAUACACACUAAUUCCCACACUACACAAGCAAAAAGACUCAGGAUAUGAAAUGCUACCUCAAGCUGCAUGUGCUACAUGUCAGCAGAAACCAGUUUCGGGGUCUUUGUACUAUCUUCAGGUCCGGAUCACAGCCACACAAAGAGAACACUACAUAUCAUGCUCACAGUGGACCACUGCAUCCCACGCUGCUACUGCUAGCACAGGUGUAUCCGGAAAGCACUGAUCUGCUUCCCCAGAUGUGUUCUGCAGACACCUUUUGACUACACACAUUGCUACAUGCUAGACCUGUAUUUAAAGCUCAAGAGGGAAGUAAGCUCACAGGGUUUUACCCUGAAUGCCCAACGUAUUGGCAAGAGGUUAGCACACCAGCUGAGGGUUGCAACUGGUAAUGCCUGAAUUUCAGCAAUGCUGGUACCAACAGCUUGCAGGUUUCUUAGAAAGUUUAUGUUAGUAAGCAGAGACAUUUAAUUUACUACUGUCUAUAGUUUAACAUUUGAUAAUAAAAUAUAAAUUAAAGAGAAAAAAUGAUCUUCUCCCCAUCUCUGAAAACCACUGCAAGCCUCAGGCUCUAGGACACACUGUCCAAACUUAAAAAUCUGUUUGAAGACUUCCACUGUAACUUAUCAGAAGAGUUGUAUAGGGAACUCUUUUCUUCUCCCAAUGAAUACGAGUUGUGAUUACUCUUCUAAAGCACGAGGCCAUGCCAGAGCAGAUCUCUCUCUCAUAAAGUAAUUAAAAUUAAAUUCAAAUUAAAAAAUUAUUGUAUUCUGUAAUUGAAUGGGCAGCAUCACUACCAAUCACAAACAGGUUUUGACUUCAUUCUAUAUUUGCAUAAAAUAACAAGAAAUGUUAAGACAACAAAUGAGUAAGCCUGCACAAUCAGUCAGGCUCAUCAGCAGAUACACUAAAAAUGUAAUGAAUGCAGGAAUAUUCAUUUAUAUUAUUGUCCAAAUACAGAAAAAAAAAGUGAGAAAUCUUUUAUCAGACAAGGAUGGAUAAGAAAAUAGAAAUGCAGUACUGAAAGAGCUCUUAUUAUUUAUAAAAACAUGUAUAAAAACACAGGAAGCUAGAGUAGCAAGUAGGAGGAAAUUAUGUACAACACUUAUCAGAUGGAUACCGAAAUGCUGCGUCCAAGUUAGACCUUAAAAAGGAUCCAAAAGAAUAAGAUGUCUGAGAGGUGGGAUAGUUAAAGAGGAGCUGUGCAA